rnacentral:misc_RNA from 1 species
GCCGUUUCAUCGAGGAGGUUAAGAGACUGAGCACAGAUCGAGACCAAAGUUGCCGGCGUCAAGUCUUGGACCGAUGCAACGUUGCUUGGGAUUGAAACGCCGGCGUUCUGGAGCGACUUCAACAACACAUCCUCGUACUCCUCCAUAAGGACUCCUCUCUCUCGAUGGAAAGGUUCUCUCUUUUUGCGUUGUUUUCUGCGUUUUCGUCCUCCGCUAUGUUU